rnacentral:tRNA from 1 species
GGAGGAUUAGCGAAGCGGUCAUAACGCGGUGGUCUUGAAAACCAUUUGACCUCACGGUCACGGGGGUUCGAAUCCCUCAUCCUCCG